CGUGAGUGAUGAAGGCUUUCGGGUCGUAAAGCUCUGUCAAGUGGGAAGAACCUAUGGGGGUCCAACAGGCCCUUGUACUGACGGUACCACUGAAGGAAGCACCGGCUAACUCCGUGCCAGCAGCCGCGGUAAUACGGGGGGUGCAAGCGUUAUUCGGAAUUAUUGGGCGUAAAGGGCGCGUAGGCGGUCAAGUAAGUCAGAUGUGAAAUCCCGGGGCUCAACCCCGGAAGUGCAUUUGAUACUGCGUGACUUGAGUAUGGGAGAGGGAAGUGGAAUUCCUGGUGUAGAGGUGAAAUUCGUAGAUAUCAGGAGGAACACCGGUGGCGAAGGCGACUUCCUGGACCAAUACUGACGCUGAGGCGCGAAGGCGUGGGUAGCAAACAGGAUUAGAUACCCUGGUAGUCCACGCAGUAAACGGUGAUCACUAGGUGUAGCGGGUAUUGACCCCUGCUGUGCCGUAGUUAACGCAUUAA
rnacentral:rRNA from 1 species